rnacentral:rRNA from 1 species
CCCUUAGAUGUUCUGGGCCGCACGCGCGCUACACUGAUGCAUUCAACAAGCCUAGCCUUGACCGAGAGGUCCGGGUAAUCUUUGAAACUGCAUCGUGAUGGGGCUAGAUUAUUGCAAUUAUUAAUCUUCAACGAGGAAUGCCUAGUAAGCGUGAUUCAUCAAAUCGCGUUGAUUACGUCCCUGCCCUUUGUACACACCGCCCGUCGCUCCUACCGAUUGAAUGUGUUGGUGAGGAGCUCGGAUUGGCAGCAGUUGGUGGUUUGCCACCGGCUAUUGCUGAGAAGUCCUCCAAACCGCCCCAUUUAGAGGAAGGAGAAGUCGUAACA